UACGUAGGGCGCAAGCGUUGUCCGGAAUUAUUGGGCGUAAAGAGCUCGUAGGCGGUCUGUUACGUCCGCUGUGAAAACCCAGGGCUUAACCCUGGGCUUGCAGUGGAUACGGGUAGACUAGAGGCAGGUAGGGGAGAAUGGAAUUCCCGGUGUAGCGGUGAAAUGCGCAGAUAUCGGGAGGAACACCGGUGGCGAAGGCGGUUCUCUGGGACUGACCUGACGCUGAGGAGCGAAAGCGUGGGGAGCGAACAGG
rnacentral:rRNA from 1 species